GAUGAACGCUGGCGGCGUGCCUAAUACAUGCAAGUCGAGCGAACAGACGAGGAGCUUGCUCCUCUGACGUUAGCGGCGGACGGGUGAGUAACACGUGGAUAACCUACCUAUAAGACUGGGAUAACUUCGGGAAACCGGAGCUAAUACCGGAUAAUAUAUUGAACCGCAUGGUUCAAUAGUGAAAGACGGCUUUGCUGUCACUUAUAGAUGGAUCCGCGCCGCAUUAGCUAGUUGGUAAGGUAACGGCUUACCAAGGCAACGAUGCGUAGCCGACCUGAGAGGGUGAUCGGCCACACUGGAACUGAGACACGGUCCAGACUCCUACGGGAGGCAGCAGUAGGGAAUCUUCCGCAAUGGGCGAAAGCCUGACGGAGCAACGCCGCGUGAGUGAUGAAGGUCUUCGGAUCGUAAAACUCUGUUAUUAGGUAAGAACAAAUGUGUAAGUAACUAUGCACGUCUUGACGGUACCUAAUCAGAAAGCCACGGCUAACUACGUG
rnacentral:rRNA from 1 species